CGUUCCAAAGCGCUUGAAGCUUUUAAAGUGAGGCUGGAGCAAUCAUUAAACAAAGGAAGAGGAUUUGCUACAUAUGCUCGUAUCUGUACUCACUCUUCCAUGCUUGAGUUUGACAAAGGAUGUGCAGAUGCUUCCGUAAUACAAGCUAAUUGGGAUGCUUCAAGAGUUCGCGAAAAACUUCAACGUGAUAUAGAUGCACAUGCAUCAUCCGUUUGUAGUGCAAAGUUGUCAGAAUUGAAUGUCAACUAUGAGCAACAACUGUCUGCAUCUUUAACUGGAC